rnacentral:pre_miRNA from 1 species
AGCUGGAGCACAAAAGCCGGUGCCGGUGUGAUGCCUACACCGACUUCUGGGCUCCGGCUUU